rnacentral:rRNA from 1 species
UACGUAGGGAGCGAGCGUUGUCCGGAAUCAUUGGGCGUAAAGAGCAUGUAGGUGGAUCAAUUAGUCCGCUGUGAAAGUCAAAGGCUCAACCUUUGAAAGCCGGUGGAUACUGUUGAUCUAGAGUACGGAAGAGGCGAGUGGAAUUCCUGGUGUAGCGGUGGAAUGCGCAGAUAUCAGGAGGAACACCAAUAGCGAAGGCAGCUCGCUGGGACGUUACUGACACUGAGAUGCGAAAGCGUGGGGAGCAAACAGG